UCUUAGCAAACACCACAUAAUAUGCAAUUUUGGCUACAGUGACUUGUAGCAUAUUUUUACUCCUGAAAUACAACCCUUCCGUUUUAGAUCUCCUUAAUCAUAGUGAUUUUGUGGAGAAUAACAAAUUUUCCAUUCCUAGACUUAAAACUUGACUUCUUUCCUUAUUUCCUUCAGCAUUAAUUAUCCCUCCUAAAAAUAGACAGCUGGGGUCCAAAAAUACCCAGUGGAGCCUUAAUGAAAGGCUUCUUGCAGGGAAGCCAACAGCCUGACCUGAUUUAUGCUCCCAGUGCUGUUGUUUGUGCAGACCCACCCUGCAGCAGGUUCCUGUUUCCAGGCUUGCCUCGUAUUUGCUCACCCAGUUACUCAGCGCAGCUGCCCGCGAGGGCAGGUGAAGUGGAAGCCAUCCCCUACCCAGCCUUGUGGGGAGGUUGCACAAGCUGGGGAGUGCGUGGCUGCUUCAAACCUCUGCCCCUGAGAGCAGCUCCUCUGUGCAGGGAGCAAGGGGCACAUAGGUCAUUUCUUUUGAGGGAUGUGCCAAGCUGCUGUGCCUGGGAGCACGGGUGUCUCCCUUGGCUGGCCCUGCGAGCUGGCAGCAGAGGAGGGAUGGCAUUCCUGAACAAAACUUUCUUCUUUCUUCUUCCUGUCGAGUCAUCCUGUUCCUCCCAGCAGGCUGCAGUUUGUACAGCAAUCCCAGAGAGGGAAAUCUUGGGAUUUGCUUUACGACUUCCAAAGUCAACAAAACGCUUGGAAGUUAAACUGAACCUGCAAGGCCUUGCAACUUCAUGGAUAAUUUCAAAAGCUUUGAGUUGGUUCCCAAACUCGGCUCUGAGGAGUGUCAACUAGCAAAGCAUGCCUUGAGUGGUGUUCCUUGAAAAGCCAGUGCAAUGAAUAUCCAGGUGGAUUACUUUGAAGCCAGAAAUUAUACACAGCAUGAAACAAACCAACAAACAAGUUUAUCAACCUCACAGAGAUUUUUGCAAUUGGAAGUUGGUUUUGGAGCAUCUUCAGCAUGAAGUGAGAAGACAGCUUGCUACUGAAAGCAGAGGGCAGCUCGAAGAAAGACAAGACUCCUGUUUGGACACUCCCCAACACAGGGUGUAUGAUCAGGAAAGCCAACAGUGGAAGAGUCCGGUACUACAUUCCAGUAUUGGGUUGGUUUCUGUGUUGUUUGCUUGUUUUUUAUUUUUUCCCCAGUGUGUGAAAGAACCUAAUAAAAACUUCUGAGUGCAAUUAUA